rnacentral:rRNA from 1 species
GAAUUCGCCCUUAGAGUUUGAUCCUGGCUCAGGACGAACGCUGGCGGCGCGCCUAACACAUGCAAGUCGAACGAGCGAGAGAGAGCUUGCUUUCUCGAGCGAGUGGCGAACGGGUGAGUAACGCGUGAGGAACCUGCCUCAAAGAGGGGGACAACAGUUGGAAACGACUGCUAAUACCGCAUAAGCCCACGGGUCGGCAUCGACCAGAGGGAAAAGGAGCAAUCCGCUUUGAGAUGGCCUCGCGUCCGAUUAGCUAGUUGGUGAGGUAACGGCCCACCAAGGCGACGAUCGGUAGCCGGACUGAGAGGUUGAACGGCCACAUUGGGACUGAGACACGGCCCAGACUCCUACGGGAGGCAGCAGUGGGGAAUAUUGCACAAUGGGGGAAACCCUGAUGCAGCGACGCCGCGUGGAGGAAGAAGGUCUUCGGAUUGUAAACUCCUGUUGUUGAGGAAGAUAAUGACGGUACUCAACAAGGAAGUGACGGCUAACUACGUGCCAGCAGCCGCGGUAAAACGUAGGUCACAAGCGUUGUCCGGAAUUACUGGGUGUAAAGGGAGCGCAGGCGGGAAGACAAGUUGGAAGUGAAAUCUAUGGGCUCAACCCAUAAACUGCUUUCAAAACUGUUUUUCUUGAGUAGUGCAGAGGUAGGCGGAAUUCCCGGUGUAGCGGUGGAAUGCGUAGAUAUCGGGAGGAACACCAGUGGCGAAGGCGGCCUACUGGGCACCAACUGACGCUGAGGCUCGAAAGUGUGGGUAGCAAACAGGAUUAGAUACCCUGGUAGUCCACACCGUAAACGAUGAUUACUAGGUGUGGGAGGAUUGACCCCUUCAGUGCCGCAGUUAACACAAUAAGUAAUCCACCUGGGGAGUACGACCGCAAGGUUGAAACUCAAAGGAAUUGACGGGGGCCCGCACAAGCAGUGGAGUAUGUGGUUUAAUUCGACGCAACGCGAAGAACCUUACCAAGUCUUGACAUCCUGCGACGCACAUAGAAAUAUGUGUUUCCUUCGGGACGCAGAGACAGGUGGUGCAUGGUUGUCGUCAGCUCGUGUCGUGAGAUGUUGGGUUAAGUCCCGCAACGAGCGCAACCCUUACUGUCAGUUACUACGCAAGAGGACUCUGGCAGGACUGCCGUUGACAAAACGGAGGAAGGUGGGGAUGACGUCAAAUCAUCAUGCCCUUUAUGACUUGGGCUACACACGUACUACAAUGGCGUUAAACAAAGAGAAGCAAGACCGCGAGGUGGAGCAAAACUCAGAAACAACGUCCCAGUUCGGACUGCAGGCUGCAACUCGCCUGCACGAAGUCGGAAUUGCUAGUAAUCGUGGAUCAGCAUGCCACGGUGAAUACGUACCCGGGCCUUGCACACACCGCCCGUCA